CGCUCGGGCCGGGGCUACCGGGCCCGCAGUUGCCGGGCAGCUGCCCCGAGGCCGGUCCGCCCCGGGCACGGCGCCCCACGGCCGGCCUCGCCGCGGGGUUUGCGUAGAAGCGAGCGGGGAGGAGAGGGGAGAGGCAGCAGCCGAGAUACCGAGCCCUCCCGAGCGUCGCAGCAGUACGGGCCGUGCAACACUGAGACUAUUAGCCCCCGGGGGAGGAGGCCAUGAGUACAGGUAUCCGGAGGUGAAACCACUCAGGGAAUAAAGAAGUGACCUCUCACUCCCACUGGCUGAGAGCAUCAACAUACACAGCUUCAAAGGUGGUUUUGAAAACUAAGAGUCGGAGCUUAAAUUGGAGCCCAGGGGCCUCUGCCUCAAACAAAAGAGCAACUAGGAACUAUUGGGAGAGCUAUUGAACUUCGAGAGGGUUCAUAGUCAGAAAAUAUUUGCUCUAGCUUUGAUUCAUAUCUGUUCUCUCUAUUGGCAAACAUAAGUUAAAAGCUUGUGAACUGACACAGUAAUGAAAGAAUGAGCUAGUGUGGUCUCGUAUGUUCUGCGUGUAUUGUGAGCAAAUUUAACUACAGCAAAAUCUUUCUGGUGAUAAUGCAAGACACAGAAAGAGCCCAGAAAGCAAUGACAUCUCAGGUGGAACAGAGGCUGCAACAAGAAAAAUCCAAGCCUGAGUGGAGAACAAAAGUGAUCGUUAAUUUGUAGAUGUUAACAUGAUGCAAAGUUUUGAGGCCAAAUUCUUUAAGGCUUCUAAUCAAUCAAGAGGAAAAAUCUAACAUCUGAGUACUUUAGAUACUCUCAGUAUCAAAGAUAAAACAGGGUGGGUGUAAUUCCCUUGAGCAUGAGUAGGAACUGCUUGGUGGUUGCUGGAAUCUGAUGUCACAUCCCAGCUCUAACAAAAGGAACCUCUGGCCUUGAGUAAGCCCUUGCUUCAUCAGCACUGGUGUUUCACAGACAGAUCACCUUCUUGACAAACUUCUGAAAUGUAAGCAAUUUCUUUACAACGAUGUGGCUUAACCCUACAUUCCACAUGCUUCAGCCUCUGUGUCUGCUGAACCACAGGCUGAGGAAGCUUUCCUGCUAGAGCUCUCCAAGAUGUCUCACUGCAUCCUUUCUGUAGUUUUCGUAUUUGUUCCCAAGCCCAUUCUCCUCAGACAUGAGAAUCUGCGAUCAUCACGAACUACAAUACACAACUGCCAAUUUAAGAAUUUUGUAUCUGUUGCAAUUUUUUUUUUAAAUGGCAUCUGGCACAAUAAUUGUAAUAAAAUACAUUGCUAAUAU